rnacentral:tRNA from 1 species
GGAGAGGUUCGAGAGUGGUUUAAUCGGGCGGUUUCGAAAACCGUUGUUGUUUUUGACAACCGUGGGUUCGAAUCCCACCCUCUCCG